rnacentral:rRNA from 1 species
UGGGGAAUAUUGCACAAUGGAGGGAACUCUGAUGCAGCGACGCCGCGUGAACGAAGAAGGCUUUCGAGUCGUAAAGUUCUUUUAUAUGGGAAGAUAAUGACGGUACCAUAAGAAACAGCCCCGGCUAACUACGUGCCAGCAGCCGCGGUAAUACGUAGGGGGCUAGCGUUGUCCGGAAUCACUGGGCGUAAAGGGUUCGCAGGCGGAAAUGCAAGUCAGGUGUAAAAGGCAGUAGCUUAACUACUGUAAGCAUUUGAAACUGCAUAUCUUGAGAAGAGUAGAGGUAAGUGGAAUUUUUAGUGUGGCGGUGAAAUGCGUAGAUAUUAAAGAGAAUACCGGUGGCGAAUGCGGCUUACUGGGCUCAUUCUGACGCUGAGGAACGAAAGCGUGGGUAGCAAACAGG